CCUACGGGACGCAGCAGUGAGGAAUAUUGGUCAAUGGGCGGGAGCCUGAACCAGCCAAGUCGCGUGAGGGACGACGGUCCUAUGGAUUGUAAACCUCUUUUGUCGGGGAACAAAGGCGCCCACGGGUGGGCGGAUGAGUGUACCCGAAGAAAAAGCAUCGGCUAACUCCGUGCCAGCAGCCGCGGUAAUACGGAGGAUGCGAGCGUUAUCCGGAUUUAUUGGGUUUAAAGGGUGCGUAGGCGGACGGUCAAGUCAGCGGUAAAAAUGCGGUGCUCAACCUCGCUCCGCCGUUGAAACUGGCGUUC
rnacentral:rRNA from 1 species